GACGAACGCUGGCGGCGUGCUUAACACAUGCAAGUCGAGCGGUAAGGCCUCUUCGUGGGUACACGAGCGGCUAACGGGCGAGUAACACGUGGGUGACCUGCCCUCAGCUCUGUGAUAAGCCUGGUAAACUGGGUCUAAUACCUGAUAUGACCUUUCCUCGCAUGGGGUUUGGUGGAAAGUUUUUUCGGCUGGGGAUGGGCCCGCGGCCUAUCAGCUUGUUGGUGGGGUGAUGGCCGACCAAGGCGACGACGGGUAGCCGGCCUGAGAGGGCGACCGGCCACACGGGGAGGGAGACACGGCACAGAUUCCUACGGGAGGAAGCAGUGGGGAAGAGUGCGCAAGGGGCGGAAGACUGAAGAAGCGACGCCGCGUGGGGGAGGACGGCCUUCGGGUUGUAAACUUCUUUCGACACCGACGAAUUUGGACGGUAGGGGUAGAAGAAGCACCGGCCAACUACGUG
rnacentral:rRNA from 1 species